AAACUAAUACACAUACAUGUAGUUCUAUGUAGAUUGAUCAUAUCCAGAAUUACAUUUUAUUGUUUUACUGGUUAGAGAUUAUCAUACAUGCACAUAAUCCAGAUUUUCAUUAAUGUUUUCUUAUUUGGUAUCUUACAGAGUAUUUAUUGUAUGUAAAAGUCUUCAAAUAUAACAGUUGAAUUCAAAAAUGUUAAAUGAAUUACACCCCUAUUCGACAUUUUAGCUACUGUGUGGUUCCGUAUAAUGUUAGCUACAGUUAGUUUAUGAUAUGAAUUAAUCAUGCUCUACAAUAUGUGCAAAUCAUCUCUCUAUGGAUCAACCAAUUUUACUUUUUACUUUGAAAGCUUUUUGGAAAGCUUUAUUCUACAAGUGUGCUAUCCAUUCUUACCCCCCAAUCUUUUCCUGUAAAGGGUUUCUGACCCCGAUCAGAAAUCCUUGCCUUGGGAAGAUGUACAUUUAGCCCCCUCUCCCCCCCUUCUUUGUGUCGUUCCCAGAAUUGCGUCCCUUUGAAUUGUUAUGUAACAUCCGCCCUUAUUCUGACAGCAGUGCUGCAUUGUAUUGUUGCAAAUCUUUUGUUAUAUUGGAAUUGUAAAAAGUAAGCCUAUGUCAUUGUGUUAUGAGAAAAAUAAAACAAUGAAAGAU
rnacentral:misc_RNA from 1 species